UGAUCAGCUGUUCCACUAACAGCUGUUCCACUAACAGCUGAUCCAGUAACAGCUGGGACACGAACAGCUGAUCCAGUAACAGCUGGGAUAACCUCAGAGUGUCUCUUCAGGUGAUUUCUGAGAACAUGGCGACCGUCCUCCGGGAGUUCUGCCCGCUCUACUAUCUGCUGAACGCGAUACCGGCAAAGGUGCAGAGGGGGUUCCGGUCUCUCCUGGUGUACCUCACGGCGGUGGACAGCAGCAGUGACUUCGUGGCGGUCGGCAGCAGCAUCGGGAUGCUCUACCUGUACUGCCGGCGCCUGGGUCACAUGACCAAGUACAGCCUGGAGGGGAAGUGUGAUGCGAUCACAGCUGUGAAGCUGCUUAGCUGUUUUGAUGAUCUGGUUGCCGUGGGAACAGCAUCUGGCCGUGUGGCAGUCUUCCAGCUGGUGUCUCCACUUCCUGGUCGCAACAAACAGCUGCGGCGCUUCGAUGUGGUCGGCCUCCACAAAGGUUCCAUCACGUCUCUCGCCUGGAGCGCUAACGGCAUGAAGUUGUUCUCUGGAGACGAUAAAGGACGCGUGGUGUUCUCCGCUCUGGACCUGGACCAGGGUGUGUGUAACCCUGUGCUGCUAUUGGAGGAGUCCUCAGGUGUGGUUCAGGUGGAGUACAGUCACCAGGUGCUGCUGGUGUCCACACAGCACAGAUCACUGCUUUACUGCACACAGACACAAGAAGUCCAACAGCUGGGCACCAAGCCCAGGAAGAGCAGCGGCAGGUUCGGAGCGUGCUUUCUGCCCGCUCUCUGCAAGCAGAGCGACCUGCAGGUGUUCGCUGCUCGGCCGGGACUCCGACUGUGGAGGUCUGACAUCAGAGGACAGGUGGAGGACACGCGGCUGCUGAAACCGCUGUUCAGCUCUCAGAUUCCUCAGUUUGAGUUAUUUCCUCGUCCUGGACCAAUUGGAGCGUACCGUCCAGCAGACAGACAGCUCGGUCUGCUCAGCUGUUUCUUCAGAGAGGGCUGGAUCCUCAGCUGGAACGAGUACAGCAUCUAUGUCUUAGACUGCAUUAACGAGGUGAUCGUUGGAGCGUUGGAGAGCAGCGGAGACAUUGUUUCAGUUUCAUGUUGUGACAACGAAAUCUUCAUCCUGAAAGGAGACAGAGACAUCAUCCGUCUGUCCAACAGCCCCGAGGGACUGGCCUCCAACUUGUCGGAGCUCUCUGUGCGUCUGUCGUCACCUUUGACCUUGCCCACCAUCCUCCCACCAACUGGAUCAGUGGAGACAGCUCAGCCAAUCAGAACCAUGGCUAUCAUUGUAGAGGGAGGGGGGAGGGAGGAGGGUGGAGGAGGGGAGAGACACAGUGAGGAGAUGAAUGAAGAAGAGGAGGAGGAGGUGGAGGAGGCGGAGGAGCAGGAGGAGCAGGAGGAGCAGCUGGAGCUCUGCCAGCCGCCCACUAUCUUCACCUGCAGCUCUCGCAGCCGCAGCAGCUCUGUCACUUCCUGGGACAGUCUCCAUGGAAACAGCCUGGGGUCCAGGCGCUACAGCGCCCCCCUGGGUCAGGAGGAGAUGCAACAGGAGCUGGUGGUGAAAGCCAUCAGAGUGAAGAAGAAGAAGAGACGACAGCAAGGCAACAGCAGUGUGAAUCGUCUCUCAGAGAGCAGCUGCUCAGACUCCAUGUUUGUAGUCCAGGACAGCAGCUGUAGUGAUGGAGGAAGUGGAACCCCACUGAGUGAUAGAGCUUCUUUUGUCGGUCUGGACCUUCAGAACCAGGACUCUCCAGAACAGGACCAGGAUUAUUCUUCCUCCACCCAGUCUGGCUCCCACCUACCUCCAGGCUCCCUGCCCCUCCAGGGACUGGAACACCAACUAAAUUUAGAAAAGGCAUCUGUUCCCGGGGCAGACGCAGAUGUUGUCCCACCAACCCCAGAUGUUGAUCUGCUGCUGGAGUGCACUUUCUCCUAUAUGCACACCACUGAAGAGGAUGAUGGGCAUGAGGAGCAACCAAUGGAAGAGCAGGAGGAUGAGUUUCUGAGCCCUCUGAUUGGACCAGAUGAGGAGGAGCAGGAAGUGGAGGAGGACAACCUGGUGCCCCCUGCUGGUUUGGCUGACCAGAUGUUUUACUCUACUGUGUCCAGUCUGGACAGAAAGCCUAGUAUGUCCAGUGAUGAGGAGGGAGACAUCUACUGCCACAGUCUGCCCCCAGCCGGAGCCGACACCCACAACUGUCCAUCCAAUCAGACAGAGAAGACCACUGACAGACAGAUGGACCAAGAAGCUCAGGACAGAGACAGAAACAAACCUGACCAGUUGGCAGAGAGCUGGAUGGGAUACUCGGGACCAGGAUGUGGAAUACUGAGCCUGCAGGUGACUGAAAGGUAUGUGUGGUGUCUGGACUUUAAAGGAGGACUGUUCUGCAGCAUUCUUCCUGAAACUGGCCUCAACUGGCAGCGCUUUGAAGACAAUGUCCACCAGAUGGCACUCUCACCUUCAGGUAACCUGCUGUGGAAGGUGGAGCAGAAGAGCAUGACGGCGUUUGCGUGUGCUAAAGUGUCUGUGAAAGGAAAGCGUCAUUGGUACAAAGCUGUGGAGCAAACGGCUUUCGUAGCUCUGAGUGACGACUCGGCCUGGAUCAUCAGGACCAACGGAGACUUGUACCUGCAGACAGGUCUGAGUGUGGAGCGUCCAUGUGCGCGCUCAGUGAAGGUGGAGACACCCUGCAUGUUCAGCCAGGUGUGUGUGAGAGGCGGUGUGGUCUGGGCCCUGAGUGAGCACAAAGCUUUAUUCUACAGAGAGGGACUGAACAGCUACUGCAGCGAGGGGGACGGCUGGAAGUACGACACUGUCAGCGAGGCUCAGGGUCUGGACCUGGUGUGCGUUGCCCUGGGAGACGGGGGGACAGCGUGGGCGCUGGACGCCAGCGGCAGCCUUUGGUUCAGGACCGGGAUCCGUUCCUCCAGACCUCAGGGAGACGACGACCACUGGUGGCAGAUCAGUAUUUCGGACUACGUGGUGUUUGAUCAGGGCAGUCUGUUCCAGACGCUGCUGCAGGCCACGCAGAGUGUUGCCACGGUAACCAGGGCUCCGGUGGAGCGCGUGGUGGCGUUCCUGUCGCAGUACUCGCAGUGCCAGCCGAGUCUGGUCAGUGCCAACUGCAGUGGUGUCUGGGUGGCAUCAGGACGCAACCAGCUGCACCUGGCCCGGGGCAGCCUCGUGGGAACUUUCUGGCAGAAUGUUGUUCCAAGGGGAACCGUCUCAGCCACCAGGUGGACCUUCAUCACAUCUUCAGCUGUGCCUCACAGAGAAGGUACGUUCUUGUGGUUGGCUCAGAGCAGGAAGGACCUGUUCUGUGUUUGGGAUCAGGAUGGAGAGCUCCGCCCCUCCUCUGUGCCCCUGCCACCUGAGGUGGAGCUGACUCACCUGUCUGCCUGUCGUGACGCUUUGUGGGGUUUGGACUCUCAUGGCCGAGUCAGUAUUCGCACGUUGUCUCCGUCCUGUCCCUCCGGCCUCCACUGGACGCCGCUCGACCUCAGUCAGCUGGGUGCGGUCCGGCUGGUCUCGGUGAGCUGCGGCAGUCAGAACGUUUGGGCCGUCGACAGUCGAGGAAUCGUUUACUUCAGAGUCGGAACUCAACCGCUGAACCCGAGCAUGAUGCUGCCGGCCUGGAUCCACAUCGACCCCCCUCCACAGCCAAUAGGAGUGCAGCUGGUGAGCAUCCAGACGAGUCCUAACGACCGGCUGCUCUGGACUCUGGACAACCGGGGCAGCGUGUUCGUCCGGACCGGACUCAGCCACGAGAUGCCGGUGGGGACGGACUGGGAGCUGGUUCCAGGUCUGGUGGUGGGUCAGCUGGUUCUCAGCUGUAGGACAGUUUGGGUUCGGUGUGUAAACGGAGAUCUGGCGCGACGUUACGGCGUCUCCGACCGAAACCCCGCCGGAGAUUACUGGAAGAAGAUCCCUGGCAACGCCAACUGGCUAACUGUGACUCCGGAUGACGAGUUGUGGGCGGUGACUCCGAUUGGUGGAUUGUCCCGUCGACUGACGAAGCUCCUCCCACAGACUCCCAGUAGGCCCGCCCCCUCCGCCCCCCCCCUCAGCGGGGACGACGCCGACGACGAAUGGGAGCUCAUCUGACCCGUGAGAUCACUGUGAUGUCACCGCUGUUGAGUGUGUCUGGAUUAACUUGGCGGGACGCUGUGAUGUCACAGUGAUGUCAUAUUGACACUGAGCAGGAAGUGACAUCACUUACAGAGAUGGCCGCUAAAAGGGAGCCCAGGUGUCUGCUGGGAAAUGAAGUGAACUGAGACUUUGUACCGAGAGCACUUUAUUCUGAAGGACUACAGAGACUGGUUCCGACUGGUUCUGACUGGUUCUGACUGGUUCUGACUGGUUCUGACAGGUUCUGACAGGUUCUAACUGGUUCUGACAGGUUCUGACAGGUUCUGACUGGUUCUGACUGGUUCUGACUGGUUCUGACUGGUUCUGACUGGUUCUGACAGGUUCUGACAGGUUCUAACUGGUUCUGACAGGUUCUGACAGGUUCUGACAGGUUCUGACUGGUUCUGACAGGUUCUGACUGGUUCUGACUGGUUCCAUGUUGAUUAUUGAGUAGAGGAGCUAACGGGGAUUUAAAGGGACCGGUCCACAUCAGUCUAGGUUGGAGGGACAGCUGGUUCUCUUCCUGUUUGUCUCAUAUUGGACCCCCCCUCCCAACUGGACCCCC